CCGAGUGCGGGCCCUCUGGGUCCAACCUCCCACCCGUGUUUAUCGUACCUUGUUGCUUCGGCGGGCCCGCCGUCAGGCCGCCGGGGGCUCUAUGCCCCGGGCCCGCGCCCGCCGAGGACACCAUUGAACGCUGUCUGAAGAUUGCAGUCUGAGCGAUUAGCGAAAUUAGUUA
rnacentral:misc_RNA from 1 species